rnacentral:lncRNA from 1 species
CAAUGAUGAAUCAACAAAGGGCAAUACCAGCUGGUGGAUAUGAUAUAUUGCAACCAAUGAUGCAUGCAAGACCACCAAUGGCUGUUAAUUACAUGUAUCCUCCACCUUAUAGCUACCCUCCUCCACCACAAUAUCCUCAUGAUCAAUACUCCAACUAUUUCAAUGAUGAAAAUACUUCAAACUGCACUGUUAUGUGAAAAUGCUGGAUAGAGAAGAAAAGAAAAGAAGAAAUGAGAACAUCCAAGUUUGUAAAAAGUUUUUUAAAAAAAAAACCUGAACUUUAAACUACUAUAGGGGUUUAUAGAUUUUAUUAUUAUAUAAUAUAUUUUAUGAUUAUCUUGGGAAAAAUUAUGAGAUGUAAUGGGAUAUGGUAAUCCAUAUGAGAUGCCUUUAAAUAUGUGUUUAUUAGUUACAAAAAUAUCAAUAAUAAGAAAAAGAAAAUGACAUGGGUUCAAUUGUUUUCUUCUCCCUUCCUCGUCAUCUUAGAUAUAGGUCACAUAAUUAUCAUGAUGAUUAUGGGGUCAUCUAAGUUUAUCCAUCCAUCUAAAUCUAAUAAAAACAGUGAUUGUCUGGUUCUAUUGGGUGGGCUCCAUCUAGUGACCAUUGUUCAAAAUAUUUUUUGUCUGUUUUUAUAAAAUCAAUGGACUAAUUAAGGAUUAAAGUGAAGUCAAAUUCUAACUUCAACAAAAUAUGACAAAUUUUCUCUAAAAAAGUGGCAAAUUCAAUUCUUGAUCAAUUUUUAUGUAGUCUAAUAAUCUCACUAAGUGUUCAAAAGUUACUCGACAUUCUAAGGACAACUAAAAAUGGGUAUAACUAAUGAGUGGUAAAAUUAAAUGUUUGGUUCUACGAUAUUAAUUGAUUGUAAAUAAAUUGAUUUUUUCAAAUUGAUUUUACUUAAAGAUUAGUUGAAUUUAAAGUGGCUUAGGUUGUAUACAGAUAUAUAGAAAGUGAAUUGAACAAAAAUUCAAAAACUAUAAAUCUUAACUUCAAGUUAGAAUCAAUUUGGGAGGAUAAAAUUAAUUGUACAUGAUAAAAAUCGAAUAUGUCAAAAUCAAUUCUACAUUUUCGGAAUCACGUCUCCCUUGUCAGGGAGAAAAAACAAAGUGUAUAUUUUGUUUCACUGUUAGAGAGCAAAUGUUAAUUCUAAAGGUGUAAAAUUUAUCAUGAAAUUUAUGAUUGCUCUCAAAUUGAAUUAAUUUUGUCUCCAAAAUUUAGUAUGCUUGAAGCUAGAUAUUUGAGUUUUUUAUUCUAUAAUUAAUUCUAUCACUCUUUUUUUUAAACACUCAUUCAAAAAAUUUGUUCAACCCACUUUUACAUGAAUAUUUUUAAAUAUAAAUUAUUUUACCUCCAACUCACUUUUAGCCAUAAUGAAUAUAACAUAAUCAAUUCACUCACUUUCCUUCUAAAAAUAAUAAUCAAUUCACUCAAAAUCAAAUUCCAUCAACGCAUAACCAAACUUGCAUUAAUGAUAUGCUUGAUUUUGCGGCAAGUUUUUUGUGUUAGCUUGAAAUCAUGUCAAGUUUUUUGCAUUUAUGUAGUGCUUGUUUGAUUCCACUUUUGGAGAGGGCAAAACUAUUUAUAGAAGAGUAAAAUUACUUUUGACAUGUUUAGUUGUAUAUUGUUCAAUUCACCUUUACAUAACUAAAUAUACAUUUCAUAUCACCACAGUUAGAAAUAUACAAGUAGAAUCUUCAUGUUGUAGCUUCUAGCACGACAACAAUACAAUUGUGCAUGAGUUUGGAGACUCAAAUACCAAACCAAACACAUGCUAAGUCAAGUAUAUUUUGUACGAUAUCAAAUAUCGGGCCGCAUUUUGUGUGUCCAAUAACACGAAAAUUUGUUACAUUGUGUGUUAGAAAGAUUCUCAUAGAAACUUAGCCGAAACAAAAGUUGAACAUGCCAUAGUUAAAAUGAGAAAUUCAUGUAAAGAUAGGCACGUCUUUUUUUUUUAGGGAAAAAAGAAUGACGCCUCAUUUAUAUUAACAGAAAUGCAACAAAAACAAAAGUAAAUAACAAAAUAAAAGAGAAACCGUAUAUAUUCCCUUUUUUUUUUCGUUGAUGGAUCAUCAUCAAUCUAUAUGUACACUCUUCAAAACACGCUGAUGAGGCCUGACGCAAAUUCUAAAAUGAGACUUUUCAUAAAAAUAGGAUUAAAUAUGUUUCUGAUGCUUAUAAAAUUAAAAACUUAUAAGUUUAGUUCUUACUUAAUUUUAAUCGGUUUUAGUAAUGUUCUUAAUAUGUUUGCAAAAAACUAUUCAAAAACUCAAGAGUUUAACCAUAAAUUAAACAAAUUUAAAUUGAGAAGGGACUAAUAUUGAGUGCGGAAUUUUUUUUUUAGGGACUAAUAGAAUUAUUAAAAUUAAGUAAGAACUAAACUUAAAAGUCCCAAUUUUAUAGGGACAAAAAACAUAUAACCCUAAAAAAUAUUUUAGUAAACUUAUUUCUUUUUUGAAGAAAUUUUUUUUAAUGAAAGAUUGUUUAUUAUAUUAUAAUAAUCAAUUUCGUUUAUUUUUUUAAUUGAUAAUAAAACAAAAUUAAUUAAUCUUUGUUGUUGAGAAGUUGUAGUUGUAGAUCUUAAAAACUUCAACUAAUUUAUUUUGUUUAGUUUAGAAUUUUCUGAUUCAAAUUUUAGAGUUGACAUUAAUUUAAAGCAAAGACUAUAAAGGUUUCAUGGUAAACAAAAAAUGUAAAAAAGUUAAAGAUUAUAAAUGAACAUCGGAUGAUAAAAAGUUAGAAAACAAAAAAACUUGAUUGUUAAAAUAUUAUUUAGAGAUAAAUGAGAUGUGACACUUUUAUUGGAAGUUUGUAAAAACUAAUGUGUUAUGCACACAAGAAUUUCAAGGUUAAAAUAAAGAUAAUAUUCGAUGAUAUUGUAGUUGAUGAUAUUAGUGAUAUUGACAAACAAUAAUAUCACAAGAUCACAAGUGUACAAAGAAAUAAAAAAUAUUAUGAAAGAGAAAGAAAAUAAAUACUUGUGACAUUAUGGUAUCCAAUUUUGUCACAAUGUCAUCAACCAUAAUGUCACAGAGGACUACCCUAAAAUAAGGUGUUAGAAAACUUGGAAAGUCUCCCAAGACAACCAUGGUUGCUAAAUACAUACCCCCCCCCAUAAAUAAUGGCACAAAAGAAAAAGUGAAAGCUUACAACACCAUCUCUCUUCUCUCUCUCUCUCGUUAUACUUUCCCCCUUUCUGUUCAUAUUCUCACUAAUGCCUCACAUUUCUCAUCUUUCUCUCUCUCUUUAAUGACUACCCACCAUUUUUCUCUCCAUAUUUCUCUCUAACUCCAAGCCUUCUUCUUCACACCCCCUUGCUUAUAUUCACACACCCUUCUUUUAUUUUCUUUUCUCUCAUUGUUUCCUAAACCUUCAUCUAUAAAACUAAAUAUCUCAAACAACUUCUACACAAUAUUCCCUCAUCGAAGUUUCUUAGUUAUGUUCUUACCCUUUCUACAUUUCUCCCUCUUUGUUACAACCCUUUGAUAAAAAAAAAUGAGUAAAGAAGAGAUUUUAAAGAUACAGGUAAAAAAAAUCUUCAUAGCAUCAACUAUUGAAGCUUUUUAAGUUGUUAAACUCUGUUUUUUUAGUUUUAAAUUUGAUUUAAUUUUGUCAUGUAUGUUUCUAUGUAUGUGUAUACAUGCUUAUGACAUUUUUUCUAAUAAAGUAGUAAGGUGUUUUGUUUUUACCUUUUAUGUAACACUAAUUCUUGUUUUUGGUUUUGGGAUCACUUGUGCAUGCAGAAAAGUGUUCUCAAAGUGAACAUACACUGUGACGGUUGCAAGCAGAAAGUUAAGAAAAUCUUGCAGAAGAUUGAUGGUAAGAAAAUCCUUAUAUUCACUCUUCCAACUUACCCAAAAAAAAAAAAUGUUUUUUUCCCUUUUCAUUCACAUUCAUAGUCUUAAAAAAAACUCUUUAUAUCAAGAGAAAAAUAACUUAUAUACCAUUCUCACUACUGUAAAAAUUACAUGUAAAACAAUUACUCUGCACCUUGCACCAUUCUCACUACUGUUUGUAACAUUUUGACUUUUCUUGAUUUACUUUUUGCAAAUGGUACUGAUCUGCUAUUGGUAAUAGUGAGCAUAUGCAUAACUUAUAUACCAUAUUUUAUUUUUUACUCUUGAAACGCUUUAAUUUUAUUUAUUUGUAGAAGGAAGAAAAAAAAAAUCUGAUUUUUACCACCACCUAUUAUCAUAUCUUAAAUCAUUUGAAGUAUGUUGCUUAUUUAUUGUGUAAUUUAAUUUUGUAGGGGUUUUUGCUACUGAGAUAGAUGCUGAACAAGGGAAGGUGACCGUUUCUGGAAAUGUGGACCCAAAUGUUCUCAUCAAGAAGCUUGCAAAAUCAGGGAAACAUGCAGAACUUUGGGGUGCUCCAAAGGCAAACAACAACAAUAACAACCAGAACAACAUUCCAAAUCAAAUGAAGAACAUGCAUAUUGACAAUGGAAAAGGUGGUGGAGGAAACAAUAACAACAAGGGGCAAAAGGGUCCUGGAAAUAACCAAAAUCAGCCAAAGGGUGGUAGCCAACAAGGACAAAAUCCUCAACAACAGCAGCUUCAGCAACAGUUACAACAGCUGCAACAACUUCAACAUAUUAAAGGAUUUGGAGAUCUGAAGGUGCCUCAAUUCAAGGACAUGAACAUGAAAAUGCCACCACCAAAUCAAAAUACAAAUAUGAAAGGUGUUAAGUUCAAUUUGCCUGAAGAGUAUGAUGAUUUUUCUGAUGAUGAGUUAGAUGAGUUUGAUGAUGAUGAAUAUUCUGAUGAGGAGUUUGAUGAUGAGAUGGAACAUCCUUUGAAUAAGAUGAAACUACCUAUGGGGGGUAAUGGUCCUGCUCACAUGAUGAUGAAUGCUCAAAAGGGUGUUGGAAGUGGUGGAGGCAAUGGAAAGAAAGGUGGAGCAGGACCUGUGCCUGUUCAAGUUCAUGGCUUGGGUGGUGGAAAGAAAGGUGGUGGUGGUGGUGGCGGAAAUAAUCAGAGUCAGAAUCAAGGUGGAGGUAAUAAGAACAAUGGUGGCAAAAAUGGAGGUGGAAUGCCAGAGGGUAAAAAUGGAAAUAAGAAUGUUGGUGGUGGUGGUGGUGGUAAUGGUGGGAUUCCAAAUAACAAUGUGGGUAAAAAGGUAAAUGGAAUGGGAGAAAGUGGUGUUCAAGGUAUGAUAAAUAAUGGACUUCCAAACAUGGGUGGUGGUCAUCCUAAUGUGGGCCACAUGGUUUCUAACAAUAUGAGUGGUAUGCCAAUGGGAGGAGGAGGAGCAAUGGGAAACAACAUGGCAAUGAUGAGUCAAAUGGGAGGUAACAUGCCAGCUGUUCAAGGCCUACCGGCAGCUGCGAUGAACGGUGGUGGUGGUGGUGGUGGUGGUGUCGGCGGUGGAUAUGGUGGUCCUGAAAUGAUGAUGGGUGGAAACCCAUACCAACAACAACAAUACAUGGCUGCAAUGAUGAAUCAACAAAGGGCAAUACCAGCUGGUGGAAAUGAUAGAUUUCAACCAAUGAUUUAUGCAAGACCACCAAUGGCUGUUAAUUACAUGUAUCCUCCACCUUAUAGCUAUCCUCCUCCACCACAACAUCCUCAUGAUCCAUACUCCAACUUUUUCAAUGAUGAAAAUACUUCAAGCUGCAGUGUUAUGUGAAGAAAUGAGAUGUUGAAUUCGUGAUGUUGGCAAGAGAAGAAAAGAAGUAGAAAUGAGUUUUAAUUUUAGUUUGCUU